CUCUCUUCUCUCUCUGUGAGUUUUCAGCCUCUGCUUCUUCUUCUAAUUUUCAGCCUCUUUUCGGUUUCUACCUUUGUGGUGAUUUUCAUUGAGUUAUUACCUACCUUUGUAGUCUUCUAAGUGCGUUAUCUCUUUGAAAACCAAAAGCGGAAGCUUGGUUUUGUCUUGGAUCAUUGGCUGUCGGAUUGUGGUGUGGUUGGGUGAAUAAACUGAGAUUGGGCCUACCUUGGUGGUCAAUACAGGUUCAACGCAACAGAAUCUGGAGUGUAUUUUCUGCACACAUGUUAAUCUCAUAUACGGUGAGAAGGAUCAGAAAUAAUGUAGAAAUAGAAUUUUUCCAUUAAAUGCUGAAUAAUUCAAGUUUAUUUGAAAUUUCUUUUU
rnacentral:lncRNA from 1 species